AAGGGAGACCUAAUUCAGGUAGGAGACGAAAAAAAAGUAGUCCCUACCAAGAAUCAAUCCCAAAAGGUCGGAGCGAGGCAAAAUUGGCUUUCAAACUAGGUUCUGGGUUCACACAAGACCUGAAUCAGGAACAAGGGCUAUUAGCUCAGGUGGUUAGAGCGCACCCCUGAUAAGGGUGAGGUCCCUGGUUCGAGUCCAGGAUGGCCCACCUGUACAGGUGGCAAAAACAAAGAAAAGAAGCGAGGAAUCAGCACCUUAUCUUACUUAUAUAGUAAGAGAGAAUGCUGGCUCUGAGUUCAGAGUCCAGAGGAACCUUGAAAACUGCAUAGAGCUAGGUGAAAAAGCCAAAAAAGAAGACCGCAA
rnacentral:tRNA from 1 species